UACGGGGGGGGCAAGCGUUGUUCGGAAUUACUGGGCGUAAAGGGUUCGUAGGUGGCUUGUUAAGUCAGACGUGAAAUCCCUCGGCUCAACCGGGGAACUGCGUCUGAGACUGAUGAGCUCGAGUGCAGGAGAGGAACGCGGAAUUCCAGGUGUAGCGGUGAAAUGCGUAGAUAUCUGGAGGAACACCAAUGGCGAAGGCAGCUCGCUGGGACGGUACUGACGCUGAGACGCGAAAGCGUGGGGAGCAAACAGG
rnacentral:rRNA from 1 species